rnacentral:rRNA from 1 species
AUUGAACGCUGGCGGCAGGCCUAACACAUGCAAGUCGAGCGAGCGGCGGACGGGUGAGUAAUGUCUGGGAAACUGCCUGAUGGAGGGGGAUAACUACUGGAAACGGUAGCUAAUACCGCAUACCAUCGGAUGUGCCAAGAGGGGAUUAGCUAGUAGGUGGGGUAACGGCUCACCUAGGCGACGAACCCUAGCUGGUCUGAGAGGAGGACCAGAGACAUUGGAACGGAGACACGGUCCAGCCUCCUACGGUAGGCAGCAGUGGGGAAUAUUGCACAAUGGGCGCAAGCUUGAUGCAGCCAUGCCGCGUGUGUGAAGAAGGCCUUCGGGUUGUAAAGCACUUUCAGCGGGGAGGCGUUACCCGCAGAAGAAGCACCGGCUAACUCCGUGCCAGCAGCCGCGGUAAUAC